UAGUCCACGCCGUAAACGAUGAUUACUCGAUGUUGGCAAUACACCGUCAGCGUCCAUGCGAAAGCGUUAAGUAAUCCACCUGGGGAGUACGAUCGCAAGAUUGAAACUCAAAGGAAUUGACGGGGGCCCGCACAAGCGGAGGAGCAUGUGGUUUAAUUCGAUGGUACGCGAGGAACCUUACCUGGGCUCAAAUGUAUUUUGACAACUCCCGAAAGGGAGCUUUUCUUCGGAACAAUUUACAAGGUGCUGCAUGGUUGUCGUCAGCUCGUGCCGUGAGGCGUCGGGUUAAGUCCCAUAACGAGCGCAACCCCUAUUCUUAGUUGCCAGCGGAUAAUGCCGGGGACUCUAAGAAAACUGCCAGUGUAAACUGAGGGGAAGUGGGGAUGACGUCAAAUCAUCACGGCCCUUACGUCCUGGGCUACACACGUGCUACAAUGGUCUGUACAGAGAGUUGCUAACUGGUGACAGUGUGCUAAUCUCUAAAGCAGGCCUCAGUUCGGAUUGGGGUCUGC
rnacentral:rRNA from 1 species